UAAGUAAAAUCACAUAAAAAAUUAAGCCUAUUCAGACAAAAACAAUAUGUAAUUGUAAAAAAGGCUAUGACUUUAAGAGGGCUAAUUUGUUUGGAGACCAUAUAAGGACACUUCCGGUUUCUAUUAUCACGUGGACUAGUUUCAUCCAGCGACCAAGUUAAGCUCCGCCCCCUCAUUACAGCUAACAGCUGCUAUCCAGAGAAGAGGAUGCUAGCUCCUUCAAUCAAGUUGGCGGAUUUACGGUGUACGUCCAUCCAAAUAGAGGAGAGAGAUGAAGAUGAAGAGAAGCACAGAAGACUUGACUUCCUGCGGGCGGCGCUAAGAGAAGAGACUGAAGGCAUCUACUGGCUAUAAGAGGCGACCCAGAUGACGAUGAUGGUGAGGAAGCUGAUGGAUAUGAAGAGGAUGUAGAUGCCAAACAGCAGGCGGUCUAUGAUGAAACCCACCUGCAUCCAAUCCUCGGAGGUCUGGCUGCCCCCCAGCUGCUGCUCCACCUGCAGGCGGAUGACCUUCAGGUCUCCGCCCAGGCUCCUCAGCUCCCGCACGGCCUUGUCCUCCACCGCCGCUCCUUCCUCCUCUUCAGGCUCUUCAUCAUCUCCUUGCUGUGCCGACACGGCGCUCGACCUCGUGUCUGAGAGUGGACAAUUUAUCUUUCAUGUCUUUACGGUUCGGAUUGGUAUCUGUCUACUUGCGUACCUGCUUCUUCAACCUCUUUGGUCUCCCAGGGCAGACCCACAAGACGUCCCAGGAGCUGCAAGAGAAGCACGUGGAUCCAGCCGGGAACGGGACGCAGGCUUUUGGAGCUGAGCAGCAAGUUGGUGAUGAGGAUGGUCUCCAGGAGGCUGGCCACCAUCAGAGCCAAGCACAAGGAGAAGAACACGUCUGGUGUGAAGGACAGGAGAUACGUCAAACACGUCUAGAAAAGUCACUUCUUGAGGUUCCUGCAUGCAGACUAGCACCCAAUUGGGGGGGGGGUGGCUGGUGAAAAUGACUCUUUGUCAUGGAGGAAGGUCUGACACGGAAGGUCUGCCUGUUGCUGCCUAGCAUCCGUUCCUUCCCCUGCUUCACAUCCUAAAUCCAAACCUGAGGUCUUCUACCAUCACUUCUACCAGCGCUGUCCGCCAGGCCACCCAGUGAAAAAUGAAAGGAUGCAACGUUCACACGAUCUUCACGGUUCUAGAACCUCCAAUUCCAUCACAUGCACCUCAACGCUGAACCGCCAUCAGGACCUUUACCGAAGCUGAUGAAGGAGCUGAAGGGAGAUCUUGUCGGUGCCGCACUGGAGGGGGUCCCAACUGACCAGCUCAUUCUGCCACCACUGAAACAAGAAGAAGCGGGAAAAAGUGAGUCUGCUGUCGCUUGGCAGCGGGAACAAGAAAGCAAGAUGCUUACAAAGUGCUGCCACAGGUACGUUGUCAGGAGUUGAGCCUUUUCAUUCUGAGGACAAGACACUUUGGUUGUUUUACUGCGGCAAGUUGGAUUUCAGACCUGGAUCUCAACCUACCACUCCCAGGAUCCCGUACAGGAGGAAGCGUACGCUGACAUUGGUGGGGGUGGUCAUGUUGGUGACGGGUCUCAUGGCGGCCAUGUUAAAGAUGGGUGUCAGGGCCUCCAGCAGGGCCAGGUGGUUGGGUUCUGAGCACGUCACCUGGAUGGGGCUGCACGGAGCUGAUGGGUGCGAAAUAGCACAUGAAGAACCCAGCCAGGAACCCAUACACGAAUCGACAUGUAGCCAAAUAUAACGUACCGGGUAGAAGAAGAAGAAGCGGUAUCAUCCACAGAAGUGUCCACUAGAAUUCAAGCACUGUCAGUCACAGCUUGAUGAAAACAGACAGGAUGUACAAAUGAAGAGGAUACUUUACCCGGAAUGAAGUAUUUGUGAAGGCCAUCAUGCCAAGUGUUCCAUAUGUGGUACCUGCAGAGAAGUGCUGGUCUUCCUUUAUGCAAUAAAUCAUGUUGGGAUCAGUGUGGGAUCACAUUCUCAUGUCAUAACACGGGAACGUGCCUCCAUACUUUGGACUGAAGGAUAUCAAUUUUUUAACCCUUAGACGCAUAAGUGGGUCAAAAAUGACCCGGUCAGGUUGUUUUCUUGAAAUAUCUUUGUAAUUAAAAUUUUUUAUUAUUUCAUAUUCCAGGUAUUCCUCAAAAAACAUGUUUUUGAUAUCAUGCCAUUCACAUUUUUAACUUAUCUUUUAUACAUUUUUACAUUUUACAUUGAAAUUUUUGUUUUUGUGUUACUACCCCAACCUUCCAUAAGUGAGUCAAAAAUGACCUGGUCAGGUUGUUUUCUUGAAAUAUCUUUGUAAUUAAAUUUUUUUUUAUCAUUUCAUAUUCCAGUUAUUCCUCAAAAAACAUGUUUUUGAUAUCAUGCCGUUCACAUUUUUAACUUAUAUUUUAUACAUUUUAAGAAAUUUUAGUUUUUGUGUUACUACCCCAACCUUCCAUAAGUGGGUCAAAAAUGACCCGGUCAGGUUGUUUUCUUGAAAUAUCUAGAAUUUUUAUCAUUUAAUAUUCCAGGUAUUCCUCAAAAAACAUGUUUUUGAUAUCAUGCCGUUCACAUUUUUAACUUAUCUUUUAUACAUUUUAAGAUUUUUUUGUUUUUGUGUUACUACCCCAACCUUCCAUAAGUGGGUCAAAAAUGACCCGGUCAGGGUGUUUUCUUGAAAUAUCUUUGUAAUUAAUUUUUUUUUAUCAUUUCAUAUUCCAGGUAUUCCUCAUAAAACAUG